ensembl:lncRNA
AUGCUCGCUCAGCGAAGUGACAAUGGGGAAGGGAGCAAGUGGCAGUGGCGGCGGCAGCCUAAGAGGCAGAAGGGGCGAAAGGGGCGAGGCCUGCGAAAGUUCCCCAUGCAAGGAAUUCCAUUUUAUGCCUGCAGACCUUGGGAAACUGGGAUUUCACAGGGUGGAACUGCGGGACGCCCUCCUCCCCAAAGCGCGGAGGACAGGAAGCACCAGACACAGGAGGUACCGAGGGCCCAUUUCCCGCUAGCCACCGGAGUUCAGUUCCACAGAAUUCGAACCCGACUUCCAAGAACCCACCACUGGCCCCUCUGUGGGAAAGAAAGGAGCACCCAGACUUCCUUCAAGAACUCCCAGACUGCUGCUUUCUCUUCAGUGUGUACUAUCUACUUCCAGACUGCUUUCCAGGCUCUUCCACUAGGUCUUGCUCUGACCUGAAGAGUGACUAAAGGAAGGUAGGAUUCAUGUUUGUUUUGGCUCUUAAUUGAGUACUGGAAGACAUUUAGGGGGCACCUAUUCUGCAAACACAGAACCAUCUUAAAUGUGUGGGAUAUGGAGUGAUCUUGGUGUUCUUCAGGGACACUUAUACUUCUUUUGGUGUUCUUCAGGGACACUUAUACUUCUCCCUUCAGGCUGACUGGUCAUGGAAAUCUAUUUUCUAGUCUUCAUUACUUCAGUUUGAGGCUCUAGCACUUGCUAAAUCACACAAACUUUUGAGAGGAUGUAUACUGUUAAGUUUUCUGCAGUCAACAUUCCUCAGUUCCUGCAGUCAGGAUUGACUGAACAUCUGGUAUGGAAGGUUGGGUAUUAGAAGCCAGGUAUAUGGUGAAGAGAGCAUAUCUGGUAAGCCCCCCUUUACAGACAUCAAAGGCAUACUUCCAGCCAUUUACUGAUGUUAGCUUUGCAGAUUAUGUAAUGGUGCAGGUACAGUGAACCUAAAAGUGCUGGGUUUUCAUGAAGGAGAGAAGGCAGGCCAAUCAGAUGAGAGGAGUGAAAGAAUGGUACCAAAAAGGUUUUUCUUGACAUUGUUUUUUCCAUCUGGAUUUUCACAGCUGGCUGCUUAAGCGCCAGGUAGGGAAUGAGAAACAUGUUUCUCUUCUGCUGCUUAUCUAAAGUUUCCUAAUUAAAGCAAAGCAUAUAUCAUGUAUAGUUUCUACAGGCAGAACUCAGCAUUUAGUCCAAUGACCUACUGAAAGAGAUAGCCCUUCACCUGGAAAACACUGCUUCUUAAGGCUCAAUGUCGCUCUCUAGAGAUGUUUUGAAAAUAGCAUCACAAUUGCUGACUUGGCAUCAGGAAUGGGGUGGUGAUGGGGUUGAUGAGAAAGAAUGUGUUUCUACUAUAAGUUAAAAUAUUUUAAAAAUAUUUGGAUGUCUGAUCUCCUUGGCUGCCAGAUUGUUAGUUCAACUUUCUCUUUAUUUUCACUAAAACUGAAGGCUUUUCUAAACACAGAAGGCAGAGUACCUCCUGACAUCUAGUACUAGGUUUUUUACCCUGUUGACUAAUGCUUUAGGGUUAAAACAGAAUAUAUUUUGGCCAUGUGGUUAUCUGAGAAAAACUUUUGGUCAUCUUUAGUAUGUGGAAAGAAAUUUUUUAUCCUUUUUUAAGGAUGGUGAAGGAUGGAAAUGAGAACCAGCUCCCUAGAAAAAUCUGCAAGACGGCCUGUGGGAUACAGAUACUUGCCUCCUAAAUGUAGGCAGACUGCUGAGUGUUUUAGAUCCAGUGAUUACACAAUCUGUUAUAACAUAAAUAGAUAUCAAUUUUAAGCUAAAAACGGAUUUUGCUAGUGGGUCAUGUGUAACAGCUCUCUCCAAAUGAAAAAAAAAUCUGAUUGUAGUUAACUAUGAGAUAUUUUAACAGACUAAAACUAUAAAAAAGAUUAAAGAAUCUGUUUCCCAUACUGUAUAUCUUUCUAAACCACAACCAAAACCAAACAGCUAUAUGUGGAUUAAUUUCUUGAAUAGUCCUGGGGAAGGUCUCAGUUAUGCUGGUGAUUAUAUCUGUAUAGAAAUAGUUGAGAACCAACACACUUAUUUUCUUAAAACUGUGCUUUUACUUUCAUGGAAAAUAACCCAUUGCACACUGAAUUGGGUUGUUUGGUAGACAAGAUUUUAGUCAGCACUAUUGUAGGGAAGAGUCAAAUUCUUGGCAGGGCCUGGAAAAGAGGGUCUGGGAUCUAUGGAUACUUCCAUAAAUAUACUUACCAGAUUUAACAUAUAACACACAAUAUAUACGGGAAUUACACAGUCUAUUUGGAAACAGCAGUAUUGCUAAUAUGCAAAGAAAUGAGAGAAAGGCUUUGGCCUAAGUUCCUGGAACAUUUGUGUGAUUGCUGUUUUGAGUUUCAGGAAUACUUCUGCAAAAGGUCUUUACCUUUCAGAAAGACCACUUAUCCCUACCCUACAGUGGUUUAGUUAAAUAAUUUAUAAUUUUCAGUUACAUUUAAUUACUUUUUCACCUCACUACUCUUAGAAAUGCCAUCUCAUAUUGAAUAAUGACAUUGUGUUUAUUUGUUGGGUAGACCAGUAAAGUCAAAAUAAAGGUUUUAAGUUUGCAAAUGUAGAAAACUGUUAUUUAAACAAUCAAAAAAGAAAGAAAAUAAGAGGACUUGAUUUAUGAUAUAGCAUUUAAUUAUGCUGUUUAAGAAUGUUUUUACAAAUUUAAAACAGAGUUUUCUAACCUGGGUCUGUGAACUACAGAUGAAUUGUUAGACUGCACAAGGUCUGUGAAUUUACUGAUAUGAUAAGCAGAAUUUCAAAUGUGUGUGCAUAUGUGCUCUUUGUUGGAUAUAGAUUUUUCUCACUUACAUGAGAUUGCCAAUGAUGUUCAAGAAUUUUAAAAAACCCAUUUAAAAACCACCAGUUUAUAGGAGCCAUGCAUGCCAAAUUUUAAGUUAAAAAAAAAAGAAUAUGUAGACAAUUUGUAAAAGUUGCCAUAAAAUUAAUUUUCUCCUAAAUGGUAAUUGAAGGAUAUCUGAGAACAUCUUUUCAAAUAAAUAUUUUUCUUAAGUGACUGUUACAAGCAAAGAAUGCAUUAUGCUUUCUUGGCAUAAUGUACUUGUUCCAAUAUUUAAGGCAUGGAGUUUGUCACACUGAGUAGUGACAUUCAUUUGUAAAAUUGAUAGCAUGAAAAAAUAGAACAAACUUGCUGUCUCAGG